rnacentral:tRNA from 1 species
GAGGAUAUAGCUCAGUUGGUAGAGUGCUUGUCUCACAUGCAAAAGGCCAUGGGUUCAAUCCCCAGCACCACCC